UACCACUCCUACCUAUAUUUUCAAAAAUGACCAGCUACCCCACCUAUAAAUAGGGACGCACAAGGGACCUCUAGGUAAGCUUUUAGGCCAAAUUCUCUCCCUCUUUUCCACUAUUCUUUGCUGAUUGACUUAAGUGUCAGAGGGUCCCCAUCCGAAGUAACUCCAGUUAGGGACUUGCUUUGCAAGUUCUCUCUCGUCUAAUAUGGAAUCAAGCUCCAACCACCCC
rnacentral:lncRNA from 1 species